rnacentral:rRNA from 1 species
CCUACGGGAGGCUGCAGUGAGGAAUAUUGGUCAAUGGGCGCGAGCCUGAACCAGCCAAGUAGCGUGAAGGAUGACUGCCCUACGGGUUGUAAACUUCUUUUAUAAAGGAAUACAGUGAGGCACGUGUGCCUUUUUGUAUGUACUUUAUGAAUAAGGAUCGGCUAACUCCGUGCCAGCAGCCGCGGUAAUACGGAGGGUCCGAGCGUUCUCCGGAUUUAUUGGGUUUAAAGGGAGCGUAGGUGGGUUGUUAAGUCAGGUGGGAAAGUUUGCGGGUCAACCGUAAAAUUGCUAUUGAUACUGGGAGUCUUGAGUACAGUAGAGGUAGGCGGAAUUCGUGGUGUAGCGGUGAAAUGCUUAGAUAUCACGAAGAACUCCGAUUGCGAAGGCAGCUUACUAAACUGCAACUGACAUUGAUGCUCGAAAGUGUGGGUAUCAAACAGGAUUAGAGACCCCUGUAGUC